CCCACCCUGUGGGGGGGGGGGGGUGACAUGGGCUGGGUCUCCUGCUUUUACUGGCCCUGGGAUUCACCAUUUACUGAUUAACCCCCUCCCAGACACACACCUCAUGCAAAACCCUGUUACGCAUCACAGCUGAACAGCUGCAGACCCAGUUCAGCGACACCCAAGCACUGGGGAGGAUCAAAUUCAUACAGGGCCAUGGCAGCAGCUCCUUGUCUCUGCUGGCCAGAACCAGCCUCCACCCUACAUGUGAACAGGCUUAAACUGUGCAGACACACAGUCACCUCCAUGCCUCUGGCCUCUUCUCCUUCCUUUACUGCAAGGAGCCAGCCCCCUCCUGGAUCGUGAGCACGGAGAGAAAAAGGGCAUCAGCAAAUACAAGCCGAGCUGGGGGAGGAGAUGGGAGCGACCUAUGGCCCUUGCGGCCUGCUGCAUUUCAAAGGUCAUGAAUUUGUAUUAGAAGCAGGAAGAGGAGAUCAACAACAACACUUAUUAGAAAAGAAAAUUUGAUAUUAAAUUUAUUAUUCUAAAACUA